rnacentral:rRNA from 1 species
UGCCCAAGAGAUCGGGAUAACACCUGGAAACAGAUGCUAAUACCGGAUAACAACAGAUGAUGCCUAUCAACUGUUUAAAAGAUGGCUCUGCUAUCACUCUUGGAUGGACCUGCGGUGCAUUAGCUAAUUGGUAGGGUAACGGCCUACCAAGGUGAUGAUGCAUAGCCGAGUUGAGAGACUGAUCGGCCACAUUGGGACUGAUACACGGCCCAAACUCCUACGGGAGGCAGCAGGC